UCAGCUCAAGCCAUUCUCCCACCUCAGCCUCCCAAGUAGGUGGUACUACAAGUGUGUGCUACCACACCUGGCUAAAAGUAUCCUUAUUGAACGUGAAUUUUAGAUUUCAGUUACUGAGAACAAAGUAAUUGCAGAAAAAGACAAGAUGAAUAAACUCAGUUGGUAUUUACUCUUGGCUUCAUGGGGCUUCCUUUCCAGCUCUGAAUAAAACAAAGGCCACCACUCAUAAGAACCAAGAAGAGAAGAACACUCUACCUACUGUCACCCUCAAGGUUCUCCCUCCAGGCCAAUAAGCAAUUAUCACCACUGGGCUGGAACACUUUAGGAGGUUUGCCAGGAGGUCUGAGCUCCUCAAGGGCAAAAAUGAUGGCAUAUUUAUUCAUCUUUAUACCCAAAGGCAUCACAGCACUGGCACAUAGUAUGCACAGAGAAAACACAUUGAGCGAAUGGAUAAGAUUAUUAAUAUAAAUAAGCUAUGCUCCUUUCCCUCCAGAAGUUCCCAGUUGUGGUAGUGGCUGUCCAGUGGGGAGACAACCACUACUACAAAUAUAUGAAAAGUGCUAUAUAACUGAGAAAUCACCGAGGGCCAUAGUUUGCCAAUUAAUUUGAAAAAAAUCUCAAAAAUUGAUAUCAAGUGCUGAUAUUUUUAGAGAAGCCUUUUUGGUGAACAUGUUAAAAGAUUUGAGAAAAAUCUGUUAAUUUAAAAUGUGCAUUGGAUAUGACACUAAAGUAUGGGUAACAAAAGAAAAAAUAAACAAAUGGGACUACAUCAAGCUAAAAGGCUUCUGCACAGCAAAGAAAACAACCCACAAAAUGAAAAGGCAGCCUACAGAAUGGGAAAAAUUUUGCAAACCCUAUGGUAUAUAAGGGAACUCAUACAACUCAAUAGCAAUAAAUAAAUAAAAAUAACCAGAUUUUAAAAAUAAGCAAAAGACUUGAAUAGAUAUUUUUACAAAGAAGACAUAUAAAUAGCCAAUAGGUACAUGGAAAGGUACAAAACAGACUUCCUCUCAAGCUUGGCGUUUGCCCGGUGGGGACCCACGUGGAUUCCACAUGCGUAUGGAGAAAAGUGUUAUUUCUGCUGGGGCCAAUCUACCCUGGCCACGGCAUGAUGUUCGUCCGCAACGAUUGCAAGGUAUUCCGUUUUUGUAAAUCCAAAUGUCAUAAAAACUUUAAAAAGAAGUGCAACCCUCGCAAGGUCAGGUGGACUAAAGUCUUCCAGAAAGUAGCCGGUAAAGAGCUUAUAGUGGAUAAUUCAUUUGAAUUUGAAAAACGUAGAAAUGAACCUGUGAAAUACCAGAGAGAGCUAUGGAAUAAAACUACUGAUGCAAUGAAGAGAGUUGAAGAGAUCAAACAGAAACACCACGCCAAAUUUAUAAUGAACAGAUUGAAGAAAAAUAAAGAGCUACAGAAAGUUCAGGACAUCAAAGAAGUCAAACAAAACAUCCAUCUUAUCCAAGCCCCUCUUGUAGGUAAAGGAAAGCAGCUGGAAGAGAAAAUGGUACAGCAAUUACAACAGGAGGUGGACAUGGAAGAUGUUUCUUAAAAAUCUCACUGUAACCAUUUCUAUAUGUACAUUUGAAAGUGUCCACUAGAGACUAGAACUUCUAAGUUAUUGGUUUAUUUUUACAUAACGUCACUCAAAUAAAAAGUGAUUAAAAAUGUAUUUCCUACACUGCUGUCUGCAAAACAUCAGAUGGUAUGGAUGUUAGAUUGCAUCUCAAUGUUAAGCCUUUACUGAUAGAUGUGCUUAUGUAAAUUAUGAAAAUUCUGUUUGUAAAUAUAGAAAUGAAUUGUGGACAAAAUGGUCAUUCCAUUUGGAUAAUGGCACUAGGCAGCAUUUAUAUAUAACUUAGGACAAAAAUUCUGGCGAGUGAUAUGUAAAAUAAAAUUUUCUUUGCAGAAAAAAAAAAA